AGCCGACAUCUUCCACCAUUUGAGGUGAGCAGGUAGAAACCUGAAGUGAGUCAGUCCAUGUUAAGGUCUGUUCUCAUGAGGAUGCUGAACAUCUCAGUGCCUCCUAGAAUCUGUCUAGGAAACCAUGGCCUUCUCAGUGUUUCACAGAUCAUACAUGUCAUCACUUUCAACUUCAGCAGAACAAGCAGGCUGAGAAAACAUCUUGGUCAAACCCUACCUUCUCAAGCUCAUGGAUAUUAGAAUGACUGCUGUCAUCAUUGUGCAGAGGAAGAGGCACACCGGCUACCAGAAAAUUGAGGACAAGUCAGAGUGGUGAUCAGUGCAUGUUUCCUUCCCAUAAGCCAGUGCAAGGAUUCUGCAUAAGUCAACAUCGCUGUCUGUUACAGACUGUCAUUCAGGUCAUGAUGCUCAUAGUCACCAGUGUUAGACUGCAGCUCUUUCUAUCCCUUUCUCUCACCUCUUCCCUUCCUUCCAGGAACAGAAAAGGUUCAGUCUUGAGUUCAGCCCUAUAUUUUGGCUGGGUACCUGGCAUAUCUGAUAGAGGAAAAGAUGGGGGCCUGAAUUUGGACUGAGGGAGAAGAUGCCUAUGUGGCUUAUAGGCCUACCUUGGACCAGGGGGGACUGUUGCUGCUGUCCCUAAGGGCAGGUUUCCAAAUGUUUCAUUUUAUGAACUCCUAGGAAGCAUCAAGUUCCCCUCCAAAGCUGUCUUUAGGUACUGCUUGUUACUGUUAGACAGGUGUUAUUAUUAGCUUGCAGUUUGCUGGCUGGGUAUCACUGCAUCAACAUAUUCCAAGCGGAUGCGGAGCAAAAGCCUCAAGGACGAAAAUGAAGAAAGGUCUUAUGUAAUAAAUUGAAAGUAUACAUCACUAAGGACUGUAGUUCUGUCCCUGCGUUAGUAGUGAAUAUACUCAUAUUAGGGUAUGUUUACCUUGGAAUCAGGUGAUGUCUGUAGAAUGUGACAUGUACCUACUAUCUACUUAACACAGAGUUCAGUGUUUUAUAGAAAAGGGAACUGGCCAUAGGCAACCAUUUUUUUUUCAUGCAGUUGAGGAUUUCACUGCUUCUAUUAAGAUUUUAAAGCAUUUAAUACAUUAAAGCAUCUUUACACUGCUUACUGUGUACUUUCUCCAUAAGGAACCCUAUAACCUACCAGACUUUAGAAAAACCAGUUCUUGUCUUGGAAGUAGAUGAGAUGAACAGUUGACCUGGAAAACAAGGCAACACAUGCCCAGCUAGCAGGGUUUUUGCAUUACACAGAGUGAGAGGAGCUCAUCUCUUUCCAGGGGUGCAUCUUGAGAAAGACUAAUUUGCUGCAAAAACAAUAGGUUCCCCACCUUCUGUGACAAUGCUGUGACUCCACAGCACAAUGAAUAGGAAUCGAAGGCACACUCCUCAGCUAUCAUGUGUCCAAAGCGAUUAUGGAAAUGGUGAUGGUGAAUCUCAAUUACUUCCACAUUGUCUGGCUCUGCUCCAGGAUUACCACCCCCCCCAACCCCCGCCCUGUCUGCCUGCCAUUCUUCUCCUGCCAUUCUAUUCUUUUCAUGUUCUGUCCCUCAAGGCUCACAUGUUUCAGAGAGGAGGCAUUAUGUAGAUAUAUCUUUUUUAUUUUUAAUGCUCAUUGUUCUGCUUAAUCUGAACAAACCUCUAAUUUUUCAUGUGCCCACCAUCCUUCUAGAUCCUUUCCUCUCAAAUAUUUUCAUACUUCUGAUUCUUUAAAUCUAAAGAAAGUAGAAUUCAGUUUACUUUUCAUACUUUCCAAAAAGGAGUAUGUUAGAUGUGAAACUCUGGCUCCUAAGUGUCAAAGAAUCUUCUAGUACCAAGAUUCUAGCUAAUUUUAAGGUUUGGAGAAAUAAUCAGCCACUGUACUGUAUGAGUCCACACUAUGCACUCUUUACAUACAAAGUGAUAUGAAUAUAUUGGAGGAAGCCCUGUGGUUCUCUGUGGCUGCCUGCCUGAGGCUUUGCCUUCUUUCCUCUUUAAAGCCCGAGCUCACCAUUUGGGACUAUUCAGCUGUGUGCAAGAAGGCUUACCUCGGUGUCUCACCUGUAUUAUAUUUUAAUAGGUAUUAUGACAAUGCCAGUCUUAUAUAGUCAUAUUGAGAAUUUAAAGAACAAAUUUAUGAAGAAUAUUAGGACAAUGUCUGGCAUGGAGUCUGUGCAAUAAAAAUGUUCACAAUCCUA